GGCUGUAGCUCAGUGGAUAGAGUAUUGGCCUCCGAAGCCAAGGGUCGUGGGUUCGAUCCCCGCCAGCCGC
rnacentral:tRNA from 1 species